CCGKUUGAUCCYGGCAGAGGCCACUGCUAUCGGGGUUUGACUAAGCCAUGCGAGUCGAGAGGUGCAAGACCUCGGCGUACUGCUCAGUAACACGUGGACAAUCUGCCCUGAAGAGGAGGAUAAUCCCGGGAAACUGGGGGUAAUACUCCAUAGUUCGUGCUGACUGGAAUGUUAUGCGAACGAAAGAUCCGUCGCUUCAGGAUGAGUCUGCGGCCGAUUAGGUAGUUGUUGGGGUAACGGCCCAACAAGCCUGUCAUCGGUACGGGUUGUGGGAGCAAGAGCCCGGAGAUGGAUUCUGAGACACGAAUCCAGGCCCUACGGGGCGCAGCAGGCGCGAAAACUUUACCAUGCGGGCAACCGUGAUAAGGAAACCCCGAGUGCCAGCACAGGCUGGCUGUCCACCAGUGUAAAUAACUGGUGAAGAAAGGGCCGGGCAAGACCGGUGCCAGCCGCCGCGGUAAUACCGGCGGCUCGAGUGGUGGCCGCUAUUACUGGGCUUAAAGGGUCCGUAGCUGGAUAUACAAGUCCCUUGAGAAAUCCGCCGGCUUAACCGGUGGGCGUUCAGGGGAAACUGUAUUUCUAGGGACCGGNANAGGUGANAGGUACUGCCGGGGNAAGGANUGAAAUCCUGUAAUCNCGGUGGGACCACCUAUGGCGAAAGUCUCUUCACCAAAACG
rnacentral:rRNA from 1 species